GAUGAACGCUAGCGGCAGGCUUAACACAUGCAAGUCGAGGGGUAACAGGGAUUGCUUUCAAUCUGCUGACGACCGGCGCACGGGUGCGUAACGCGUAUAGAAUCUACCUUAUACAGGGGGAUAGGCUGAAGAAAUUCGGAUUAAUACCCCAUAGUAUUAUGAAUUGGCAUCGAUUUAUAAUUAAAGAUAUUGAUAUUGGUAUAAGAUGAUUAUGCGUCCUAUUAGCUAGUUGGUAAGGUAAAGGCUUACCAAGGCUAUGAUAGGUAGGGGCCCUGAGAGGGGGAUCCCCCACACUGGUACUGAGACACGGACCAGACUCCUACGGGAGGCAGCAGUGAGGAAUAUUGGACAAUGGGGGGCAACCCUGAUCCAGCCAUGCCGCGUGCAGGAAGACUGCCUUAUGGGUUGUAAACUGCUUUUUUUACAGG
rnacentral:rRNA from 1 species